AAAAGAAAAGAGGGGCUGGCAUUUGGCUUAGUGCUUAAAAACACAGCCUGCAGUGCCAGCAUCCCAUGUGGGUGCCGGUUCGAGUCCAGGCUGUUCCACUUCCAAUCCAGCUCUCUGCUGUGGCCUGGGAAAGCAACGGAAGAUGGCCCAAGUGCUUGGGCCCCUGCACCCACGUGGGAAACCCAGAAGAAGCUCCUGGCUCCAGAUUGAUCCAGCUCUGGCCAUUGUGGCCAUCCGGGGAGUAAACCAACAGAUGGACGACCUCUUUCUCUCUGCUUCUGCCUUUCUGUAACUCCACCUUUCAAAUAAAUAGAUAAAUCUUGAAAAAAAAAAAAAAAGACACAAUCACAGCAGCUGUCCUUGACCCAGGGGGAGCUUUGUUUUUGUUCCUCUGGGGACAAACACCCCUACGCAACACCUCCUAGCCAGCGCAGAGGGUGGAGAGGGUUCCACCUCUCCAACACUGAACCCUGACCACAGAUACCACCUGUUCCUCUAACAGCUGAAUUUUAGAUCUUGCUGGGAUUACAUUGCCUGUAAAAAUCGGCUUAUCAUUGCCACUGCAACCCCUUUUUUGUGUGUGGUUUGGACUGGUACUUUUUGCUCUCAGUCAUCUUCAAGUUCAGUUUCAACUGUGGGCUAACUUCAGGCAACUUCCAGAUCCUCAAAGGAUCUGGGGCAGUACUUCCAGGGCCUGCAAACAACCUGUCAUUCGGUAUCAGCUUCGCUGAGAGGACACACAGAGCGAAUCCACCUGACCCACGAUCGCGUGGCUUCCUGCCAGACUACGAAGCACAAGGCUUUCAGAUUACACACUGACGUGAAGACAGAAACGUCUGCUGAACACUGAGUGAGCCCAGGCUCACCAGGUUCCCCGGGUCAGGUUACAGGCUGGGACAAGGCUGAGCUCCCUUUGAAAGAAUGUCAAGUAAAUCGGCGGAAGAGAUGAAGUAGAAGCGAGGAAAAGCCAUACGCUUCGUUUCCAGACUGUUCCAGAAACCCUACCAUGAUAAAACGGAGCCAGUCCUUGACCAACCUUAAAUUCAGCGUCUACUCCAUCGAAUCUUCUGGCAUCUGUCACGAGCUGGAUUCGAAUGUCUUCUGAACACACGAAAAUGCUUUCCAGUUUCCUACUGAGCUCCACAGUCAUGGACCAGCAAGGCCCCCUUUACUACCAGGCAGUCUGGCCAGCACGUCUGACCACCGUGACGCGGAAACCUCAGAAAGUCACCACGCAGGCUCUAAGCCUCGUUCUCCUUCAUCUAGGUCACUAAUCCACCCGACUGUUCUGUGAACACUGCCCACUCGUGUUUUGCACAUUGCGUGGUCCUGUUCCCGAAACGUCUCGGACCACUCCUGGUCUGCCCUCGUUGUGGCUCCUUGUGCUCACCAAGGGCAGCCCCCUCCGAAGCUCUAUUCCCAGCUUGCUCAGCUUCUGCCCUUAGCUCACAGAUGCUCAAGACACAAGGACCCCACCCCCUACAGCUCCAGGCUGACCCCUGUGCAGAGCUCUGAUCCACUUCCCACCUGUUGUCCCUCACAACACACACUCCAGUGUGUGUGUCCUUCAGGCUACAGCCCUUUCUUUUCCUAAGUUGCUCUGUCUAAUAAUAAUAACCAUGCUGUCAUAAUUGCUGUAAUUUCCUCUGAACGGUUUGUCUCUUCUCCCUUUCUUAUCUCUCAUGUCCAAAGAGGUGUCAACACUGUAAUCUUGGGAUUUAAGACCAAAUAUGCUGUGCUUGUACCUCCCCCUCAGCCUUAUUUCUCCCUAUUCCCAUACACAGACUCUAUAUGCCAAGAAACCUAAACUCUUACAAUUACUUGUGAAUGUCAGGUGUUUCCUGGCAUUCCAAUAUGCUUCUAAUAGAGCCUCCAUCGCCUCCACAUGCAUUUGCUGAUGACCACAGGUUGCCGAGUGCCAGCUCUGCCUGCAAGGCUCAGUGUAAGGGCCAUUGGCUUAUAUGGCCCUCGCUGUCAUCCAUGUUCCCCAAUCUGUGAGGCUCUGUCUCUUCUUAAACUCUUUGGAAUCUUCAGGGGUUCUCCCUACUCAAGUGCAAGGCCCUUGAGAACAAGUGUUUGUAUAUCUGGGUCCAAAUGGUCCCACAUCUGGUGUCUGGUACAAGUGGAUGAUCAAUGGAUAAAUAAAUACACAUUAAGUACUUAGAACUUGGAGAAAAAUCUAAAGUCAUAAUUUUUAAAAAAAGAUUCGAUUUCAACAAUAUGAGUCUUCACAAAGGUCAAAGAUGCCAUAUUUUUUAAAACUUAUUCAUAGAUUUAAACUAACACAUACUUAUUUUAAUUCCACUUUCCACAAACCUUUUGAAAUACGCUCAUAUGUGCACUCAGCAUGAGUGCAUAUUAAUAGAUUGGAAAAGUAAGAUACGCUGUAAUAGAGUAAUAUUAACAGAGUUCCACACUCUACUUUUUCAAAACGUACAGAACAGACAGACAGAAAAUCCACUGGGAAACAGAACUGAACAGCAUCUUAGACAGAAUGGAGCUGCCACAGACAGAACAUUUCAUGCAACAGCAGCAGAAGCCCCAUGCUCCAAGUGUACAUUGGGACGCUCUCCAGGACUGGUCAGGCCAUAAAACAAGUCCUAGAAAAUUGAAAAUCACUGAAAUCAUGUCAAGUAUCAUUUCUGGACAUAAUGGAAUGAACCCAGAAAUACGUAACAAGUGGAAUUUCAAAUAAGUU